AGACAUUUCAGGAGCUCCAGGCCACAGAGUCUCCACAAGAUAAGAACAGGCUGGCCAGACCUCCAGUGCCAGCAGUGUAGCAGGGCAUAGCACAGGAAGCCUGCAGGUCUUCUUUAAUAUUUCUCGCAACAGACAUGCAUGGGAUGGAAAUGGAGAGUAGCCUGAGACAAAGAAGAUCUGGCGACAGGCCCAAACUGGGAUCCAGCUCAAGAAGAGGUCUGGAGGCCUGACACUAUUACUGAGGCUAUGGAGCGCUCACAAAAAAGGGACCUAUCAUGACCGUCCUCCAGAAGACCAACAAGCAGCUCAAAGUGUCAGAUGCAGAUAUUUCCACCCAACCAAUGUUCAGAAGCUGCUGACCCCUGUGGUUGAAUUAGGGAAAGACUAGAAGAAGCUGAGGAGGAGGGCAGCCCUCUAAGAGGACCAGGAGUCUCAAUUAACCUGGUCCCCCGAGAUCUCUCAAACACUGGACCACCAACCAGGAAGCAUAUACCAGAUGACAUGAGGCCCCAAACACAGACACAGCUGAGGACUGCUGGGUCUGGAAGAUACACCGAACCCUCAAGAGACUGGAGGCCCCAGUGAGUUGAGAGAUCUGGUUGGGUUCGCGGUCCCCCUCGCACCCACGAAUAACUGAAUCCUGCAGGAUGGGAUAAGUGGCGCCCGACGUGAGGGCGAGGUCCGGAUCGUAAUUCCUAAUCAGUGGAGGUUCCAGAGAAGUUCGUCGCGACUCCAAGAAUUCAGAAGUAGUGAAGGACACCUUCCACUGCUCACGGAAGAGUGAGAAGUCCUUGAAAAACAAAAUGAGAGACAUCUCUGCAUCUUCCCUGCCAGAGGAGAGGCGUCCACCCAGCCCAGGAGGCCUUGCCAGAACAUCUGCCAUAGACAUCUUGGUUCCCGAAUCCUGCCAAGACUAGUCUGCACAGAAUCCAGGCAUCUGGGAACCUUCUCUGCCAGAGGAGAGGUGUCCACCCAGCCCAGGAGGGCUUUGCCGGAGCAUCCACAGGAGCCAUCUCCCUUUCUGGAUCCCACCAAGACUAGCCUGCACAGGUGAGAGUGUGGACUACAGAAGCUCACAGCUUCUGGAACAGGCCCAGUUUCGGGCCUUCAUCUUCUGCCAGGAGGCAAAUCUGAACAACAGAUA
rnacentral:lncRNA from 1 species